rnacentral:tRNA from 1 species
GUAAGGCGCCACACUAGUAAUGUGGAGAUCAUCGGUUCAAAUCCGAUUGGAAGCA